ensembl:miRNA
AAGCAGGAGGUGUCAGAAAAGUUACCACAGGGAUAACUGGCUUGAGGCGGCCAAGCGUUCAUAGGGACGUCGCUUUUUGAUCCUUCGA